UUAGACGGUUUCUCAUUUCAUGAUUGUGUGUCUGCAUUCUGUUUUAUUUUAUUUUUUUCUUUUGAAUCCAUCAUGGAUCAGUGGUUAAAAACGAGAUUUUUAAGGGGUAAAGUAUAAAUUCUGAAGUUCUUUCCACUUUGUUAUAACAAUGUCAUUUUGAGAUGAGAAAGAUAAUGUUUUGAAAUAAAUAUUAUGGUGGUUUGCAGAUAUGGUAAAAAUCGUGAAGGUGGUACACGAAUGACUGAAGUUUGGGAAGCACUGGACUAGAGGUAAGAUAGCUAGUCAACAUCAUCAACUGCCAAAUGCCAACUCUUGGGAUACUCCUUUACCAAGGAAUAUGCUGAACGAGCAUGUUUUGUUGAGGAAAUUAAAACCCGCACACUAAGGAAGUAAAACUCCAGUGUCUAGUUAAUUAUCACUAAUAGCAAAAUCUGAGUUCAAUGAUAAGACGAUGUUGAAAAAUGAGCAUUUUAUAAAACAGAAUUGUCCUUCUUUGAUGUCAAAACUACAUUAAAAAGUUAAUAGGUAAAAUA